rnacentral:lncRNA from 1 species
CAGAGGAGGAAAUCUACUUCUAGAUCCGCAGCGAAAUGGAAAGAAGCCGGUGGAAAUUGACAUAUUACGAUCAGCAGAUACAACCUUUUCAUAGCUGUUCCGGAUGCGGUGGAAAUUGCCUGUAAGGUGGAUGCUAAGGGCCUCAGGUGUUUUUUUUUUUUUUUAUGUGACUACAAAGCUGUGUACAAAGUAGCUCCCCAAGCUGUGUCUAACUUUCUAUUAGUGUGAAAUCAGCCAAAAUGAAGCAUUUCAGGCCUUGUCCAAAAAGUGCUGACAUUAGGGUUUUUACAGACGCUAAUACGGUUUUAAAACUACAAGUCAUGCUAAGAAACUCUAUAGAUGUCCAAGACUAAAAUAUUAAAAGGUAAACUUAAUUAUAAGUCUUCUUUAAUACUGUUGUCAUUUGUUGACAUGUUUGGACUCGCUCACAAUCAAUAACUCAAUCUAAAAGAGGAUUUUUUUGGUGGCAGUAGCUCAGGAGGUAGAGUGGUCAUCCAAUAACUGGAAGGUUGGCAGUUCGAUUCCACCCUAUCAUUUGUCUGUCUGUUGUGUUCGUGGGCAAGACACUUAUCCUACCUUGCUCCCAGUGUGUGUCCUCCACUGGUGUAUGCUUCGUAUGUACAUCACUUUGGAUAAAAGCGUCUGCUAAAUGACAUUGUAAUUGUAAUAAAACAUCACAAUAUCAAUGACUCUAUGAUUUGAUGCCACAUUAUGCCUGAUAAAAUUCUUAGAAAGCUCCUCUCUCUCUCUUCCUCACUGGUUGUAUUUCUGCACAUGUGAUAAGGUGAAAACACACCGAAACCAUCUUAUCUAAAUUCACAUCCAAGCACAAAGUGAGGCGGUAUGUGGAUGUUUUCUCAUUUGUAUUCAAGAGCCACUUUUCUUCUGAUGCACCUGUUCGCACUCAAAGUUGCAAUCAUCUCUACGAGCAGAAAUCUGCAAAUUCUGAGGAGAUUUGGGGGGGAUUUACAGCGUCUGUUUUCCUGUUUGCUGUGCGGCUAAUAUUGACUAAUAAUGUUUGAGCUGGCAUCUGAUUUUGCGCAGAAAAUAGUCCUUUUGGAAAAUGAAAAAAAAGUAUGAAAAAUGCCAAAAGAAAGCAGCCAAAAUUGUGAUCUGGAAGCUAUUAGUUAUCAUCCAUAAACUUCAGCUUUUCAUUCAGCUCUUUUUUGCAAAAUCAGUGUCUCUGCCAAUCCAGCUGCACGCACUCAUUUCUGGCGUGGACUGCAAACAAUCACACGGCAAGAUAAAGGUAGUCCUGGCCUGAAUACUAAUGAUCCAAUAUCCAGAUAUAAGCUGACUCCACUGGAAUCCUGUAAGUAUUGGCCGUCACUGCAAGAGGCCAAACGAUCAGACAAAAGCCGAUCAGUUCUGACAUUUUGUGUAGAGACACUAAAAAAAAUUAGUUUCUUCUUCUUCUCUCAGCAGUCUAAAAUCUUCCUUUAUUUACUAUUAAAAAUGAAAUUCCUUCUAAUAAUGAGAAAAAAUGUCCAGUUUUUAAUUUUAUUUUUGAGUUAGUAAAAGACUGAAAUAAAACCAACAGAGCAUCCAAACUAUAAUAAACUCCCAAAUGGAGAAGUAGAUUAAUCACGGUCAAGGACUUUCAAGAUGGUUGCCCUGUCCCUCCCCUCGAGUCCCCCUUUUAUUCCCUAUUUUGGGAGCAAUAAUCUGCAGAAAGAAGAGAGUUGGAGACCCUGAAUUAUGGCGGACCAGAACAAAUUUGAGGUCAAACAUGGAGUGGGAAAAAAAAGGGACAGAAGAUCUGUCCCUCAGCCCCCUCUUAGCCUGACCAGCAUGUGGCACAUUAGCAUGGGCCAAACAGACGUGUGUGUGCGCUAAUGUGUUUGUGUGUGUGUCAGGGGUUUGAAGGGUUACAGAUAAUGAGCUUGUACACAAGCAGCAAUUAGCAUUGUAGCAAAGAAAAGAAGAAGCGUGGCAUCGGUUCAGGCAGGCCACGAGGUCAAGCUCCACCUACUGAGUAGCAGAUGAUCCUGACUAUCACAUUUCUGCUUGUUCUAUUUAAACCGUUUCAGCCCACCUGCUUCCUCCAAAAACCUGCCUCCAUCCCGGCUCCUCAUUUGCCAGUGUCACAUUGAUUGUCACCAACGCUGUUCUAUCUUUGCUGAUGCUCCCCCUGCUUUCACUACUCACAUGAAACAUAGAGAUAGUGUACUUUCUUUGCCUUACCCCCAAUUUCCCCCGCAUCCAGUACGGAUAUGAAAUGGCUGUAUCGGCCAACCGCGGCUGAUGGUAACCUUUCAAGUUAAUGUGUCAAUUUCCAUCAGCUUCUUUCCAUUCCACUGUGGAUCGCCGGACUCCACAGCUGAUCGCAACAGUUCUAUUUUUUGCAGACGCCAGAGCAUGAAUGAUAAAUUCAGCACAGAUGAGCCCGUGCUGAAAGUGGAUUUCUUCCUCUAGAAGGACACAAUCUACUGCUUAUAUGGUUAUGUAUAAUAUAUGGUUAUCUUAUUAAAGACAACCCGUUAUUGCGCGAUUCGCGGGUUCUUGUGAGUUCUCGCGAUUUCCUCUGUCCGUAAUCCGCCACAAAAUUCACCUCAUAAAUAGAUCUGGUAGGAAUUGGCGGACGGCAAAAAUCGCUGCUGUUCCGGAUACGGUGGAAAUUGGGCGUUAGGCUUUGGCAUGCCAUACACACACAGAAUAGCAGGAAGCUCUCGAAACAGAGCGUUGGAGUCUUUGCUGCUGCUCUCCCUGCCAUGGCUUUUCAUAUAUGCUCAUGAACCGGAGUUGUGCGCUCCCUGCCUUAGGCUAUGGCAUUCCACAUACGAAUGCAAUAACCAUUGCUUGCUUGACCUGCAUGUGAAUGCCUUUAGUGUGGUCACUGUAGGUUCAGAGGAUCUAAAGGUAUUAGUCAUUAACAGACAACCUGCUUUACCCCAGAGUCCAGCCAUCAUGUCCCAAAGCAGAAGCGGACAGAAAUAAACAGGAUUCAUUUAGAUGAUAUGAGGUAUUUCCAGCUUAAGCUGUCAGAUGUGAAUUGCCUAAAGUUUUUCCAUUAAGUCUCCUUGUGGAAAACAAAUAGUCAUUACUGAAUAUAAAACCACUCUGUGUCACUUUUCUGAUAGAGUGACUUAUUGUUUAAGUCCAGGGGUUUAAUACGUCCAAAACAAAACACAAAGCUGCCAUUCAUUUUCCUCUCUUUGUGUCCCGUGUCCCCAAAGGGAAACCUUGUUCUCUCUUCCCUGUGAACAUUAUUUAUUUCCCAUUAUUGUGUGAGAUGGCUGUUUGUUCGCCAAGUCUAAGUCAGGUGUCCUUGGAGACAGGAGCACAAAGGAUCCCCCUGGGUGGCUGCAAGUUAAUUCAUUGCUCUAUAGCUUCCUCCCACCACAGCCCAUCAAGCCUCCACAUAGCUCACACAGGUCUCAGGGAAAUUACACAGAGGAGCAGAAUUGCACCGGCAGUGCUUACUGAGAAAACCCAGUGGGACGCUUUAAAUUGGAUGGAAAAGAUUGGCUCAGCUAAAUACACUGCUCUGUCUCUUUUUGUCACAGCGGUCAGGUUGGUAUGGCAACAACACAAGGUGAAGCACACUCCCUAAUCAAGUGUUAUCUCUCACAGAACCAAAACAAGCUGUUAGUGAGAUUAAACUUAGCUUUGCAUGCUUAAUGUCUUCUUCCACUUGUCUUUCACAACUCUCUUUUAGCUGGAACUGAGACCUGUUGCAGCAACAACAACAAAAAAAAGUUUCAAAAAAGUUCAAAACAGGUGAAACAGUUGUGCAAUAGUUAAGAACUUCUGAAGGAACAUCUCCCUGAGGUUUAUUUGUAACAGGUUAGCAACAUGACUGGGUUUCUCAGAGGAAAAGAAGAAAGUUCAGCAAUCCUGAAUAAUGUUCCUGAAUAUAAAAGGUCAAAGAGUUUGCAUCAUGACACAAAAUCACAACAAAGGAGACCCUAAACUGUUGAGCAGACCCCAGAAAUUCUAGCCUGGCUGGGCCAUCCAGUUGUGUGAAUCACUUGCCAUUCCUUCCCACAACAGUCUGGACUUCGGCCAAUUGGGAGCAAGUAUUAGAAAUCAGAAAAUAAUCGGGCCAAUCAGAGACUGUGUUUCCACUGUUCUCCGGACAACAGGGAAAGGCAGCCCCUGAUUGGUCCAUGUGUAGAUGGAGAUGUCUAACACAUGCUGCGGGACUUUUCAAAGCGCUGUUCAUUCAGAGCGCUGUUCAUUCAGAACGCCGUUAAUUCUGCAGUUGACUUUGCAAAGUCGGCAGAAAUCAUUUAUAUCCGCAGAAGAAGACGUAAAAGACAUUGUUUGCUCGCACACGUUGAAAUAUUAUCAAACCUUUACUUGAUGCUUGAGAGCCCAGCAGGGAACACAGUUGCGCACUGUGAUGACGUCAGAUGCUUGGUUACGGUGAUUGGUUACAGUAGUCUGUCUAUCAAGGAAAGUACUCCCGCCCACUUUUAGGGCUCCCAAAAGUCCAGACUGUUGUGGGAAGGAACGGCAAGUGAUUCACACAACUGGUUGGCCCAGCCAGGCUACAGAAACUGGUCUCCUCGGUUCACAAACAUUUACAGAGCUAAUGACACGCUAAAGAAAACAUGAUCCUGUUAUAAGUGUUAUAAAAAUGUUGCUGGUAUCAAACUCAAAAGGAAUAUUGUAAAACCCGUGCAACAAAAUAUGUUGUCUUUGCUUUUUUUUAUCAAUUAUAAAUGCUGUAAAUGCUGUGCAAACCUUCGAAAUCUCUUUUAUCAUCAUUUUACACAGUGUCACAACUUGAGUGGUCGUGAAUGAAGCAAUUAUAGCAUUAAAUGUUACACAUGAUGAGGCAAUUAAGACGUGUCAGACAGUCUUUAGCACUUUGACUCUGCAGAGAGAUGUGCUAAUGGUAUUGUUUUCACCCCGAGGUAGAGGUGGUGGGCGAUGGUGUCAUCUAGAGCUGAGGGAACAUUAUAAAAGCAUGAAUGAAAUGUAAAAAGAGGAAAAAUCAAAACAAAAAAAAUAGAUGUAAUGAAGCCAAACAGCAGAAUGCAACAAGAAAUAAACAGGCCGUGCGUGCAAAAUUUAGACUUCCUGACUGGACUUUCUGCAAGAGGUCAGACCUCUGUCUUUUAAACAAGAUAUCUGUCAUCAAAUCUCAAACAAGAUGUGAAUUCUCAAAAAUGAGGAGAACAUUUAUUAAGCCACAUCAAAAUAAGACAAAAAAUGUCAAAUCAGUUAUAUACUUUGCAAAAAUAUCCCCUGCAGAGGAAGAAAAAAUGAAACAUUAGUCCAACAAAAGUCCAACAAACUGGCUCUCUUCACAGCCUCACAUCUCAUAUGCCACACAUCUGCUGAUUUCACUCAGCUCAUAUGCUCUGCUACCUGCAGCUUUAAUCACAGCCUCACAGAAUUCAGGUUUGGCCACUCUCACCUGCAGACAAUCCAAGUGAGAGAAGCUGCAACAAUAACAAAAGGGAAAACAGAAUUCCCCAAAGGGAAAAAAAAGACUACAUAUUUAGAGUGAAAUGUAAACAUCAUAUGCAUUUAAUAUAUACUUCAAACCAACAUUGCUUAGGUGCUCGAGGAAUGUGCACCUUCCUUUAGUCUUAACAAUAGUUGGUGAGUGAGGACUCUACGGCCUCACAACAAUAUCAUUGGAAGGAAAAGAGUAAAUUUUGUCUGAUAUCAAACAAAACACCAAUAUUUUAGGGUAGAAUCAUGAAGUGAUGACAUGUUUCAUCUGAAAUGACAACAACAGUUCCCUCAAAAAAAGUCCUUUCUGCUCAUUUCUCCCAUCUCAGUCUCGUAAACACAAUAACACAACAAUACCUGCAGGGAAUACCCACAAAUUUGACAUAAUGUCCUUCCGAAUCCAAAGAUAAAGUCAUUCAAUUUAGGUGUUAAAGUUUAGGUGAUCCGUGUCCAUCCUAUCUUCAUUCUCGCUUCUCGCUUCAGUAAUGCCUGGAAGCAACAUUUCAUAUUUACUGGAUUUUAGGACAAUCCUGC